UUACAGCCAUAUCAUAAUGAAACACCGCUUCCCGUACGAUCACCGAAGUUAAGCAACGUCGAACCUGGUCACUACCCUAGAUGGUCAACCGCUUGGUAAUACCAGGUGCUGUAAG